rnacentral:rRNA from 1 species
AAAACAUGUCUUUUUGAACAAAAUUAAAAGUCAAAUCUGCUCACUGAGUAUUUAAAGAGCCGCAGUAUACUGACUGUGCAAAGGUAGCAUAAUCAAUAGUUUUUUAAUUGGGAACUAGAAUGAAAGAUUAGACGAGAAAUUAAUUUUCUUUAUUUUAAUAAAUUAAAAUUUAAAUUCAAGUGAAAAUGCUUGAUUAAUAUUAAAAGACGAGAAGACCCUAUAGAUUUUUAUUAUUGAAAUAAAUUUUUAAAUUUUAAUUUAUUAAAAUAAUUUCAUUGGGGCGAUUUUAUAAUAUAAAAAACUUAAUUUUUUUAGACCAUAAAUUGUUGAAGAUUAGAUCUAAAUUUUUUAAAGAAAAGAUUAAAUUACCUUAGGGAUAACAGCGUAAUUUUAUUUAAGAGUUCAUAUCUAUAAUAAAGUUUGCGACCUCGAUGUUGAAUUAAGAUAAUAUAUUGGAGUAGAAAUUAAUAUGGUUAGUCUGUUCGACUAUUUAAUUCUUACGUGAUCU